rnacentral:sRNA from 1 species
GACCACUCACUGGUGACUGUGGUAAUGUAGUGUCUUAGGUCGUAUGGCCUGUGGCCUAGCCUAGGAAACUUUUCUCCAGUUUUGUUUUUCCUAAAGUAUUUUUGUCAUUUUCCUCUCGUGCUUCACACUGCAUGUCAUUUAAAAAACUUUUUAUUUUAAAAUAAUUUUAGAUUUCCAGAAGAGUUGCAAAAGUAGUGCAUCCAGUUCUCACAGACCUUCCCCCAGAGGCCCCUAAUUGAACAUCCUACACAGCCCCGGCACACUCAUCAAAACUCAGAAACUCCCGUGAGCAGCAUACUCUCAGCUGAAACAAGGGACUUCAUUCAGAUUUCACCAGUUUGCUCACUAAUGUCCUUUUGUGUUACAGCAUCCAAACUAGGAUCCCGCCUUGCAGUUAGUUGUCAUAUCUCCUUCGUCUUCUCCAUAUGUGACAGUUUCUCAGCCUUUUCUUGUAUUUAAUGACCUUGGCAUUUUGAAAUGCAUGUAGUUUUUAUAACAAAACUUUCAGUAUGGCCGGCUCACGCCUGUAAUCCCAGCACUUUGUGAGGCUGAGGUGGGCGGAUCACUUGAGGUCAGGAGUUUGAGACCAGCCUGGUGACCAACAUGGUGAAACCCCAUCUCUACUAAAAAUACAAAAAUUAGCUGGGCGUGGUGGCGGGCGCCUGUAAUCCCAGCUACUCAGGAGGCUGAGGCAGGAGAAUCGCUUGAACCCAGGAGGCGGAGGUUGCAGUGAGCAGAGAUCGCACCACUGCACUCCAGCCUGGGCAACAGAGCGAGACUCUGUCAAAAUAAAAAAUAAAAAAAACACACAACUUUAAAUAGGUACACAUAUGUAAACACAUGCUAGCCUGCUCUCUGGGCUGUUUUCACUGUGUCCUGCGUUCCUCCCUGUUCCUCCUUCGUCUUUCCCUUUCUCUUCCCACUCCCACAACCCUCUCAUUAAAGGCCUCAUCCCCGCCCUCUGCUGAUAACCAAGUGCUGAGUCAGGCCGAGAACAUAAACCAGGCGCUCUGAAUUUCUCCUUCCAGGCUCCCCAUGCUUUCAUUCUGCACCUGAGAAAACCAUUUUAACAUUUUCUGUUCUAGCCUUUAUGUAAUUACCAUUCAUUUCUAUGAGCUAAUUUAAUGUCCUCUUCAGAGUCUAUGGCUGGAAAGUAAUAAUCCUUCAGUUUGAGUAAUAAUAAUAAUCUUUACUACUGUUUUGGCCCAUAACAUCUUAAACACCCAUUCUUGGAACUUGCUACAAAAGUUACUGAAAUUAGUGAGAACCAAUUGAUAUUUCCAGCAUAAAGCUGCUCUGCAUGACAUCUGUAUAACUGCUUUGCAUGUGUGUAUUUUAAUUGUCGUUAUUGCUUGGUAAUAAUUUAUUCAAGAAUUAACAAACUUCAACUUGGGGUUAGAUUUUAGUAGAAUAUUGGGGAGGGUGCAACCGUUUUUUCUUUUUUAAUUCUACCUCUUCCAAAUUUAUUAACUUGUUUCUUUAAGUUCAAAUGGAUACAAUCACAUGCAGACUCUGGCAUGUCUAUGCAUAGGUAAACUUUUUCUCCCCUCACAGUAAGUAAAAUUUCAAGUAAAAUUUUGUGAGCAUAAUGGCCUUAACUCCCUAUAAAACUUCCCUGUUAUAUUUUUUUUUACAUUAACUAACAUUAAUUAUGUGUUUGUUCUAGAACAGUUGUACACCGACCAGUCUUUUGGUUGAUUUGUGGAACUUUUAACUCUUUGGUCUUUUAGAGAAUCCAAGUUCAUAAAAGACGCAGAUGAAGAGAAAGCUUCCUUGCAGAAAUCCAUCAGUAUAACUAGUGCCUUACUCACAGAAAAGGAUGCCGAGCUGGAGAAACUGAGAAAUGAGGUCACAGUGCUCAGGGGAGAAAACGCCUCUGCCAAGUCCUUGCAUUCAGUUGUUCAGACUCUAGAGUCUGAUAAGGUGAAGCUCGAGCUCAAGGUAAAGAACUUGGAGCUUCAACUCAAAGAAAACAAGAGGCAGCUCAGCAGCUCCUCAGGUAAUACAGACACUCAGGCAGACGAGGAUGAAAGAGCCCAGGAAAGUCAGAUUGAUUUCCUAAAUUCAGUAAUAGUGGACCUUCAAAGGAAGAAUCAAGACCUCAAGAUGAAGGUGGAGAUGAUGUCAGAAGCAGCCCUGAAUGGGAACGGGGAUGACCUAAACAAUUAUGACAGUGAUGAUCAGGAGAAACAGUCCAAGAAGAAACCUCGCCUCUUCUGUGACAUUUGUGACUGCUUUGAUCUCCACGACACAGAGGAUUGUCCUACCCAGGCACAGAUGUCAGAGGACCCUCCCCAUUCCACACACCAUGGCAGUCGGGGUGAGGAACGCCCAUACUGUGAAAUCUGUGAGAUGUUUGGACACUGGGCCACCAACUGCAAUGACGACGAAACCUUCUGAUGAAGCCUCCAGUGGAGAACUGGGCUUGCUCAGACGCACUCGCAUUGACACAACGUAACACCAGCAUUG